AGAACACGGCGCGGGCGUCGCCGCCCGCCCGCGGGCAGCUGAACCCGCUCACCAGCACCUUGUCGGCGUUGAGAGUCAUCGAAUGUCCUGACUUGGAAGGACCCACAAGGAUCAUGGAAGUCCAGCUACUGAAUUUAAAGUGGAUUUGGAGUGGCACUGUUUCCCCUGGAAGACAGAUAUUUGAGUGGGCAUGGGACUGGUUCUGCUGUAUCUCACUUGUGAAUGAUGGGGGAUGAGGACUUUGACCAGAGAGGAUUUAGGCCUCUCAUUCAGUCCAAAUCCAUCAGUAUCCAUUUCUGCUGAGCUCAAGAAAAUGUGCAUCUCCCUAUUAAGCUUCUCUGUCUUCCUGCCAAUGUUUCAGUGACCUGCUGUUCUGGACCAGUGAGCUCAGACAUCUGAGGAGGGGGAAAGGAAGGUGUAACUACAAAGCUGGAGAAAAAGGCUGAAAAUGAGAAGUGAUGCUGCUUUUUUGGGCAUCAGUGAAACUAUCGGACUGCCUGAUUGUAUCACAGAUGUGUCACUUGUGGGAUUUAUGCUGAUUUUAGCUUCUAUAAUUUGUGAAAGAGGCUAAAAGAGGUUGUAGUAUUAAGUAUAAUAAGUGUGCUAAGUUCACUUUUCCAUAGGUACCGAUUUUUUCUAGAUGAUCAAACCGCUAAUAAAAUGAAAUGAAAUAAAAUCAGAUUAUAAUCAGGGACAUUGUUUUAAAAUGGUAUGGAAAACUCUGCCUAAAAGUACUUUAUAUAAGAUGCAAAUACAAUUUAGAAGACAUCAUAAAAGCAUAUGUGCUUUUAUCUACGUGUCCUUGCUGUCACACUAAAAAGCGAGAGAAGUAUUUGCAUGAUGUUGUUACAAUUUCACUAUACUCUGAUACUUUGUAAUGUCUCAUGCUUUUACUAGCUACGGUGAAAUCUGUUAACUCCAUUCGCCACGGAUCAAAUCCCUUUUUUUUUUUUUUUUUUUUAAUGUAAAACAUUAAAAAGGAACAGGAUUUGAAUAAGAAUAACACACAAAAAGUCAUGCAGUAAAAAGACAGAAAUAAACUCCAAAAGUAAGCUACACAAAGACACAAACUUCCAGAGUUUCUAAUGGAAUAGGCAGAAUCCAGAGCAACCGGCAGGAGGGCAGCGUUCCCCGCCUGCCACGUCUACAGGCGGCUGCAGCAGCAGAAGACGCGGACACACACGGGGGUUAGAUGCGAAGGCUUUAUUGAAGAAGAGGAGCCUGUGUUAGCCGGACGGGCUGGCCGAAGGGCAGAGGCACAGAGCGAGCAGCCCAGAGGCACACCGAGUGCACCGAGGCUCCGAGCU